AAAUUAAAAAAAAGAAUUUUUCCAUCGUUUCCGUUUCCCUUCUCUCUCCUCCCCCCUCACACAAAUACUGUGACACCAUUCACCACUUACAAAUUACAGACAAACAUCACCAUUCUUCUUUUCCGUCGGCUUGUUGGUUGGGGGGAAUGAAGUGAAGAAACAAGAAUUGUUUACUGGGUGCCUACCACUCAGAAGCCCACACUUGUCUUCGAGGUGAAAUUUUUGUUAAAUAUAAUUUUACUCAUUACUUUCAAUUUCAUCAAAGUUUUCAGAUGAUCCAUUAUUGUCAUAAAGUACAACAGUGUUUGAAGGUAAAACAAUACACGAAAUUUUUACAGUUUUAUUGGGUCUUAUUUUCUUUAAUUUAUCGGUGAUAAAACAAGGUACAAUGUGGUUUUAUUCUCUUUAUUUUAAUCAUAUUCGAUAAUAAUGGGUAAGACUAAUGAUUCUGGGUUUUGCCUAAUAAUUCCUAACAUUAAUGUUACUGUAUUUUAUUUUAUUUUGUUUAUUUUAUUGUUUCCAUAUCUAAAUGGGUUUUACCAAAGAUUCUGGGUUUUGUUCAAGAGAUCCUUACAUUGAUGUUAGUGGGCAUUUUUGUUGCCAUUUCUACUUAUUUUAUUUUUAUUAUUUUUUCGGGUUUCAUACUUUCAUGGGUUUUGCCUAACACUCUUUAUAUGAGUUUUGAACAAAAAAGAAAAGAAUAGAAAACUUAAAUUAAAAGAGAAGUUUUUCUUUGUGUUGUUUUUGAGUUUUUUAAUAGAAAAGAAUAGAAAAUUAAAAAAAAAGAAGAAAAAUAUCACUUUUACAAAUUUACCUUUAUAUUAAUUAUAACCAUUGAACAUGAAUAAAAAUAUGCAAGAUAAAUUUAAUCAAAAGAAAAAAUUCCAUAAUCAAAUACAAAUAUCUAAAGAAAUGUUAAACAAAAACUACUUCUACAAAGUUAUUGUCAUACAAUACCCAAAAAUCAUUAAACAUAAUCUGUAUUAUUAAUAUUAACGGAGAUUAUUCAUCAAAUUCUUCAAGAAAUUCAAUCUCCUCUCAAAUAGUAACCCAAACACUGCUCGUGUCUUGUCUUGAUUUUCUAGUAGCUAUAAAUAGGCCUCAUCGAUUUUUUCCUCAUCAAAAUUCAUUUCAAUUAGUCCUUUAAAGAUAUUUUGCAGAAUAGACUCGCACAGAUGAAUUGAUAAAUGCUUUUGCCUGUUUUUCAAAUGUCUCCCCUUACUUUUCCAAUAUGGUAGCUAAUCUAUCCAUCGGUUAAUUUACCUUCAUCAUCAAAAUGUUUUGCGUUUUUCUUUUUAUUCUUUUGAAUAUAAAAUCUGAUAUCAAUAUUUCUUAAACUAUGUGGUGCGCUGAUGCCCAGGAUCCAACAUCAGAUUCUAUCACAUGAUACUCUUUUAUGGAAAUUGAUCUCCAAGUACUAUUUCUUUAUCAAACCUGUUGUGAUGCAAUCAAACUUGUUCACUUAACACAAAGGAAAAAUGCAAUCAGUUUGUUAUACAAUCUCUUCCUUGGCCUCAUACAGGAAAAAGAAAAAGAAAAAAAUUUAACCAUUUCCAUCAGGAACUCAUAUGGAUUUCAUAAUGCGAAAUUUUAAAAUUAAUUUCCUUCUGAUCCUCACGGUUGAUUUUUUUGGGUUACAUUUUUUUUAACAACAAAUACAUGGACUUGAGAAUCCAGAUUUAUAUAUGGUUAAUGGUAGUAUGAGAACUCGUUUGCGACUACAAAGAAGUUCGCGUCAAAGAGUCUUUCUCUUUAUCAGCUUAGGUUUAGUAGAUAAUAAUAAAUUGGAGACAUGAGUUGUAAUUUAAAAUUUAUUAUAUUGAAAGUUGAGGAUAAUAUGAGAAUUAUAACAAUAUUACUCAUUCCAAUUUCUUUUCCGUCCAAAUCUGGCCAAUUUUGGAAGAAAAAGUUUGGCAGGAAAAGUGGCCAAGUUUUCUUUCCAUUUCUUUUCUUUUCCGUUUAUUAAAAAACUCAAAAACAUAGGAAUUGGAAAGAAAACUUAAAUUUUCUGUCCAUUUUUUUUUCUGUUCAUUUUAAAACUCAGAAACAGAGUGUAAGAAUUCCAUACAUUGAUGUUAGUACUUAGUUGGCGAAUUUGUUGUGAUUUCUGUCUUUUCUCAGUUAAUCAUACAUACCCUUCUGCAAACACAAAAUUAAAUAUACGUAUUAUUUAGGCAAGUUAGACAAAUGCUGUGGCCUCCGCAUUUGCAUAUAUUUGUCAAUUGAAAUUUGGAUGAUUAUUGAAUCCCGUGUCAAUAAAGAAAUGCUUACAAAGAUAAAUGUGCUUGCAGAAUGGCUAGAUUUUUCAGAAGAGACUUUGAUGUGUUUCCUCGCAUAUACCUGGUCAGUGUCAUUCUUGGAGGUUACUGUGGUUAUGUUAUUGGGGAGUGGUAAGUCUUCACGGUUUUCAACUAUUAAUUGCUUAAUUAAUCGGCUUGCACUUUGAAUUACUUGUGCCCAUAUGCAUAUGAUUAAAUAUUUUAUUGACCUUCAUUUUUUUUGAGUCUACACUUUAAUCUCUGAACCAAACCUGAAUCUUUGUUGAAUAUAUUUUAUGCAUGUAACGGACAAUUGGCUUGUUACAUAACCAUUAUUUACCUCACUCCGUCCUUCACCUAUCUGUAAAGUUGUCCGCACAUAAGUAAUUAUUUUUUCAAGUGAUUGGAGUUUUUUCCUUUAAUGAUAUGCAGAAGAUAUUGUAUUAUGAUUAGAUCCUUAGGAUGCUUUAAUUUAUGUUGAGUUGGUACUUUUCCUGUCGUUCUCCUAGCCUUUGCUUCCUUACUCUGAGGAUCGCCACUAUUAUAAAUGAAGUUAACUUUUUGUAUUUGUAGAAAUUUGAUAGUUGGUAUUUUUGCCACUAUUAUAGAAUCAGUUGAAUGCUUGAUGUAAUUUCUUUUUAACAGGUCAGGAAAAAGCAGGAUGAGUGUAUUGAUGAUGAUGGGCGAGAG
rnacentral:lncRNA from 1 species